GAUAUGUUGAGAGUGUCAAGGCUAGGAGUGUCAAGAUCAGUUAACAAGUACAAGGCGCAUCAUUAGGAGAUUUGUAAGAGGAGUCUUACAUAAGGAAACUUGUCGGCGAGACAAGUAAAUCGGCAUAUAUAUCAUGAGUACACUGCAGUGAGGUUGAUACAGAGGACCACGAAAUCAGAGCCGAGUAUGAUGCAAGAUAACACGUGG
rnacentral:lncRNA from 1 species